AGGAAGACCGCACCGGAAGGAAAAAACUACAAGUCCCAGCAUCCUCUGUGUUUAGGGAGCAGUAGUGAAAGUGAAAGCAGGAGGAGGAAGGUGGAGCUGAGGCAGACUAACUCCACCCUGACAUCAAGAAGAUGGAGGAAGAGGAUGGAGCAGGAUCUGCAGCAUCCAGCUGUGUGUCUGUGAGGAGUGACCGGUCCAAAGGAAAUCCUCCAGUGUUCAGUAAUGAACCUGCAGCAACAAUGUGAAGGUAGAAAGUGUGUGAGCUGAUGUGAAUUGAGCAGCAUGGAUCAGUGUGACAGA